rnacentral:rRNA from 1 species
CACGUAGGGUGCGAGCGUUGUCCGGAAUUAUUGGGCGUAAAGGGCGCGUAGGCGGCGGGGUAAGUCGGGUGUGAAAUCUCAGAGCUCAACUCUGAAACUGCACUCGAUACUGCUCUGCUUGAGGACUGGAGAGGAGACUGGAAUUCACGGUGUAGCAGUGAAAUGCGUAGAUAUCGUGAGGAAGACCAGUGGCGAAGGCGGGUCUCUGGACAGUUCCUGACGCUGAGGCGCGAAGGCCAGGGGAGCAAACGGG